GACGAACGCUGGCGGCGUGCUUAACACAUGCAAGUCGAACGGAAAGGCCCAGCUUUCGUGUGGUGCCAGAGGGGCGAAGGGGUGAGUAACACGUGAGUAACCUGGGCUGGAGUGUGGGAUAACUUCAGGAAAGUGGUGCUAAUACCGGCUAGGAGCGGCUGCUGCAUGGGGGGGGUUGGAAAGUUUAGGCGGGUGGGGCUGGAGUCGCGGCUUAUCAGCUUGUUGGUGGGGGAGUGGCCUACGAGGGCUUUGAUGGGUGGUCGGCAUGGGAGGGUGACCGGCCACCUUGGGACUGAGGUACGGCCCAGACUCCAACGGGAGGCAGCAGUGGGGAAUAUUGCACAGUGGGGGGGAGCGUGAUGAAGAAACGCCGGGUGCGGGAAGACGGCCUUCGGGUUGUAAACCGCUUUAGGCUGUGACGAAGCGUGAGUGACGGUAAUGGGUAAAGAAGCACCGGCUAACUACGUG
rnacentral:rRNA from 1 species